GCAGAAGGAUCACUUGAGCCCAAGAGUGUGAGGCUGCAGGGAGCAGUAAUUGCACCAGUGCACUCGAGCCUGGGCGACAGAGCAAGAUCUGUCUCAAAACAAAUAAAUAAAAAUAAAUAAAUUAUUUUGAAAAAGUAAAUACUGUCUAAUGUUAGCACUAUGUAAAAAAGAGGUUUAAAAGAUAAGCUCGGCCGGGCGUGGUGGCUCAUGCCUGUAAUCCCAGCACUUUGGGAGGCUGAGGCGGGUGGGUCACGAGGUCAGGAGAUCAAGACCAUCCUGGCCAACACGGUGAAACCCUGUCUCUACUAAAAACACAAAAAUUAGCCGGGCGUGGUGGCGGGCGCCUGUAGUCCCAGCUACUCAGAAGGCUGAGGCAGGAGAAUUGCUUGAACCCAGGAGGUGGAGGUUGCAGUGAGCUGAGAUGGCGCCAGUGCACUCCAGCCUGGGUGACAGAGAGAGACUCUGUCUCAAAAAAAAAAAAAAAAAAAAAAGCUCACUCGUGCAGUGGCUCACGCCUGUAAUCCCAACACUUUGGGAGAUCAAAGCAAGUGGAUCACUUGAGUCCAGGAGUUCCUUUGAGACCAACCUGGGCAACGUGGUGAAACCCUGUCUCUACUAAAAAUAUAAAAACUUAGCUGGGUGUAGUGGCACACGCCUAUAGUCCCAGUUACUAGGGAAGCUGAGGAGGGAGGAUUGAUUGAGCCCAAAAGGUCGAGGCUGCAGUGAGCAAUGAUUCUGCCACUGCACUCCAGCCCUGGGCAACAGAGUGAGACCCUGUCUCAAGGGGAUUUAAAAAAAAAAGCUCAUUGGUUGGGUCCCAGUACAAUGACUCAUACCUGUUAUGCCAGUGCUUUAGGAGGCUGAAGUGGGAGGAUCCUUUAAGACCACCUGGCAACAUCUCCUAGACCCUGUCUCUAUAAAAAAUUAAAAACAAGGCUGGGCACAGUGGCUCACGCCUGUAAUCCCAGCACUUUGGGAGGCCGAGGUGGGCAGAUCACGAGGUCAGGAGAUCGAGACCAUCCUGGCUAACACAGUAAAACCCCGUCUCUACUAAAAAUACAAAAAAUGAGCCGGGCGUGAUGGCGGCCUGUAGUCCCAGCUACUCUGGAGGCUGAGG
rnacentral:lncRNA from 1 species